AGGCCAGCAGGCCGUGGCCCAGGCGCACCUUGCGCACAUCAGUGAUGGCAUAUGCAUGUCCCUUCACCAGGCCACAUGCCAGGCGGGCCUCCAUGUCUGCUGCUGUCACUGCCUGCAGGAGGACACAGUUGCCCAGAGAGAGAGCCAGACUACGGACCCACCACUGGUGCCUGCACUGAGCCCCAGCUCCCCCACCUGAAAUAAAAGCGGUCGAUGAAAUAAGACAAUC